rnacentral:lncRNA from 1 species
UGUGAGUGAAUGGUUCUCUUUUUCGGUUAUGGGUAAGGAGAGAGGUUCUGUAUUGUGUUCUGAGGCAUGGUGUGUGUGUGAUGAUUACUGGAUAAUUUCCGAGAGUAAGUGAUGGAUCCCUUGGAGGUGGUUACGGGUUAUCUGAGAAUCAAUGAUGGCGUGAGGAUGGUGUGCGUGAUGGAGGACAAAUUCGGUUGGAGGGUCCUUCCGUAAAUCCCUGGAUGGUGUUAGAGAUGCUGGACCAUAACUGUUUUUUCUUCUGCCUUCAAGCUGCGUCUGCACACGUCCCUCUUCAAACCAAAUUGUUUUUUUUUUUUUCUCUUUUAUUAUUUUUUUUAUUUACUAAAAGACAAAAACUACAUUUUUUCUUUUUA